rnacentral:rRNA from 1 species
UGGCUCAGGAUGAACGCUAGCGGCAGGCUUACACAUGCAAGUCGAGGGGUAAGGUCUACUUCGGUGGAUACACGACCGGCGAAUGGGUGAGUAACACGUAUGCAACUUACCUUUAACUGGAGAAUAGCUCCGGGAAACCGGAAUUAAUACUCCAUAACAUAUUAAAAACACAUGUUUUUAAUAUCAAAGCUCAGGCGGUUAAAGAUGGGCAUGCGAGGCAUUAGUUAGUUGGUAGGGUAACGGCCUACCAAGACAGCGAUGCCUAGGGGGUCUGAGAGGAUGAUCCCCCACACUGGCACUGAGACACGGGCCAGACUCCUACGGGAGGCAGCAGUGAGGAAUAUUGGGCAAUGGGCGAAAGCUUGACCCAGCCAUGCCGCGUGCAGGAUGACUGUCCUAUGGAUCGUAAACUGCUUUUUUACGGGAAGAAUCCCCCCGUUCUUCGGGGGUUGACGGUACCGUAUGAAUAAGGGUCGGCUAACUCCGUGCCAGCAGCCGCGGUAAUACGGAGGACCCGAGUGUUAUCCGGAUUUACUGGGUUUAACGGGUGCGCAGGCGGACUAGUAAGUCGAUGGUGACAGGCUACAGCUUAACUGUAGAAUUGCCAUUGAUACUGCUAUUCUUGAGUGCCGUCGAAGCGAGCGGAAUGUGUAGUGUAGCGGU